UGAGAUAUCUCCUGCAAAAGCUUUUCCUGUAAGGGGUGGGGAGCUUUUGUUCUCUGGGAAAUAUGGUGAAGCUAAUUAAGAGCAUUGUCCUGUGAGGGGGGAAGGCGGAGGGCUUUCCGAGACCGUGGUUUUCACCAGGGGAGCAGGCUACCACACACAGCUGCCUCUCAUGAAUUUGGGAUGGGAAAUCAAAGAGGAGGAGCUGUAACACAUCUCUGGGUCAGUGCCAAAAGAAGAUAAAGGAACAGCUGCAAGAUACUGCAGAGUGAAGAAUGGUAAUUCAGCAGAAGCCAGAAAUCAAACCCAGAGGUACCAAGAGAAUGGGAAGCCCAGAAGUAUCUCAGGGAGUUUGGGAGAGCAUCAACUUCCCAUAACACAUGGGAUGAGGUUUCCAGGAUUCAAUGAGAAGACAGCAGUCUGCAAUCCAGAAGAGGACCCUCACCAGAAUGCAACCCUGCCAGCAUGCUGAUCUAGGAUUUCUAGCCUUCCAAACUGCGAGAAAUAAAUUUCAUUUGUAUAUAAGCCAUCCAGUCUGUGGUGCUUUGUCAUACCAGCCCCAAAUGACUAAAACAAUAGGUGGUGUGUGUUUCGAUUUUGAUCCUCUCCUUUGAUCAUUCCAUCCUGCUUUAUUUGUUUCUGUUUUCCCCUGUGGUUCCAUACUCCAAUGUAAACCAUGUUGGCCACAGUGAUAGAUCACUGUUUUUUAUUAUUUUUAGAGUU